rnacentral:rRNA from 1 species
UACGGAGGGUGCGAGCGUUGUCCGGAAUCACUGGGCGUAAAGGGCGCGUAGGCGGCGCGGGAAGUCCGUGGUGAAAGCCUGAGGCUCAACUUCGGGUCGGCCAUGGAUACUCCUGGGCUCGAGCACUGUAGAGGCAGGUGGAAUUCCGGGUGUAGCGGUGGAAUGCGUAGAGAUCCGGAAGAACACCGGUGGCGAAGGCGGUC